CGUAUCAGACGCGGGGGAUGAGUACGAUGCAUCCCCCUCACUUCUAUUGGAAGGCCAUUCCAUCCCCUCCACUUUUGUUCGUCAAAUCCUCACAAAAAUCAGCUUUUCUAAUAAAAAAUAGUAAACGUUCGCCUGUUGUAUGCAAUUUAAAAUGGUUGCUAUGAUUGCAUCCCUCUGUAUCAAAUUAUCACUCUGUAAAUCCCAGCGCUACAAUUGACGUUACGUAGACUAAACAGCUUGCGCAGCCUGCAGAAAGCGCUGGCAGCGGUGCUCCCGAGACCCGACUGCCUGAGAGCUCAGCGCGGUGACCGCGGUCAUUCAAGCAGUUUCUCACAGAUUGCUGUGCCUAACUGUUCGUGCUGCAUACUGACUUGACGCCUUCAAUGAAAAGGUAGAAUUGAAUCACUCAGUAUCCUGUUACUUAGAAUUAUAUCAGACACGUUUUAUUUUCAGUUACUGUAUAAUCAGUAAGACCACACCAUAAACACAGAAGCCCAACAUUAUACAUAGAUCAUAGAUAGGUCUCAGCAUGAAAUGGAGAACAUUUGAAGUUGAACUUGACCACUGGUUUGACAGCCUGCACUCUGUGUGUCACUACAUAAUAACAUCACUACAUACAAGUAACAAAUGCUCUAGCCAAAUGUCAUUAGAGCUACAGUUAUUGAACAUUCAUGCAACAGCCUCAAGUGGCUUUACAAAUGUGUUUUGUCUCUGCUCAUUAUGACAAACUAAUUGUUCUGCAAUCAUUUUCCUGUCCAACAGAUCCAGCUUGUGCUUUUGAACAUAACACACGGUUACACUGUUGAGACAUGUUUGUGUCAUUGUACUUCGCAUCCAUGUUUUCAGCCUUCAGAGGUGAAGCUCCUUUCAGCUUUAUCACACAGUGUGUGUGUGUGUGUGUGUGUGUGUGUGUGUGUGUGUGUGUGUGUGUGUGUGUGUGUGUGUGUGUGUGUGUGUGUGUGUGUGUGUGUGUGUGUGUGUGCGUGUAUCAAACAAACACACAAUGAGUCAUACACACACACACACA